rnacentral:rRNA from 1 species
AAACCAACAGGGAUUGCCUUAGUAACGGCGAGUGAACAGGCAAGAGCUCAGAUUUGAAAGCCUUUCGGGGCAUUGUAUUCUGAAGCCUUGAUUCUGAGAACCGGUACCUAAGUCUUCUGGAAAGGAGCGCCAAGGAGGGUGAUAGCCCCGUACGGUACUGACCUCAUUGUAGAAUCUUGGCGUGGAGUCGAGUUGUUUGGGAAUGCAGCUCAAAUGGGUGGUAUGCUCCAUCUAAAGCUAAAUAUCUGCGAGAGACCGAUAGCGAACAAGUACUGUGAAGGAAAGAUGAAAAGAACUUUGAAAAGAGAGUGAAAAAGUACGUGAAAUUGUUGAAAUGGAAGGAUAGGCCGCUAACCACGUAGAGCCGUGUCUGAGGGGAGGAUAAAAGCUGUAGAAUGUGGCUCUUCGGAGUGUUAUAGCUGCAGUGCAUACUCCCACUCGGGCGCGAGGACCUAAGGCUCUGCUAAAUGGUGGUCUAUCAC